ensembl:snRNA U1 U1 spliceosomal RNA
AUACUUAUCUGGCACAGGAGAAUCAAUGAUCACAAAGGUGGGUUUCCCAGGGUGAGGCUUAUUCAUUGCGUUCCAGAUGUGCUCACCCCUGUGAUUUUCCCAAAUGUGGGAAACUCAACUGCAUAAUUUGUGGUAGUGGAAGACUGUGUUUGCACUUUCCCCUA